rnacentral:lncRNA from 1 species
UUUAGUUGGUAAUGUCACAACAGGACCAGAUGAUCUCAACUUCUGAGCCCUGGAAUGAUCUCAGCUGACAGAGUUAUACUACAAAAUCAUCUGGGCUUUCUGGUCAGUUUUGAAAAUUAAACCAUGAAUUUUCACGUAUUGGAGGGAGCUUGGAGCAUAGCAUGAUGUUGGUAUUUAUGAUUUGGCAAAUGCAUCAGAAUUUCAGGCUGCCUAGUGCAUAGUUAAAAGUACCAAGAAAAAAGGUUUAAUCCUAGGGAUUUUAAUCUGAUGUAUAAAUUAAAAUGGCAAUUAAAUUGAGAUAACACUAAUUGAGAUUACCUGUUCUGGCCAAUGCUCCUGGUAGCAGAAGGAGGAGACAGUUUAAUGAGUCAGAUAUGCAGCUGGUGCUACAGAAGUGUUAUAUGCGGUCUGGUGUUACCUGUAACCUGGAGCUGUGGUGGAUCUGUUUUCCUCCAAACUAUUCUGCUCCAGGAAGGGACAUACGUAUAUGGAAGAGGAACAAAACCACCAUAACAAGGAGGCAAAAUCAAGGUAGCACAGGAGAAAUUAAGUGGCAAAGUAAGAGGCAGCCUUACCUUUAUAGGAAGGUCUAA